rnacentral:rRNA from 1 species
CCUACGGGUGGCAGCAGUGGGGAAUAUUGGGCAAUGGGCGCAAGUCUGAACCAGCAACGUAGCGUGAAGGAUGACUGCCUUAUGGGUUGUAACUUUCUUUUAUAUGGGCAUAAAAUGUUCCACGUCUUGGAUUUUGUGUGUACCCUAUGAAUAAGGAUCGACUACCUCUGUUCCAGCAGCCGCGGUAAUACGGAGGAUCCGCGCGUUAUACGGAUUUAUUGGGGUUAAAGGGAGCGUAGGUGGAUUAUUAAGUCAGUUGUGAAAAUUUGAGGCUCAACCAUAGAAUUGCAUUUGAAACUGGCUGUCUUGAGUACAGGAGAGGUGGGCGGAAUUCGUGGUGUAGCGGUGAAAUGCGUAGAUAUCACGAAGAACACCGAUUGCGAAGGCAGUUCACUGGACAGCAACUGACACUGAGGCGCGAAAGUGUGGGGAUCAAACAGGAUUAGAUACCCUUGUAGUG